UACGUAAGGAGCGAGCGUUGUUCGGAAUUAUUGGGCGUAAAGGGCGCGUAGGCGGUUAAAUAAGUCUGUAACUAAAGACCUAGGCUUAACUUAGGGAAAGUUAUGGAAACUAUUUAACUAGAAUCCUUCAGGGGAAACUGGAAUUCCUGGUGUAGGGGUGGAAUCUGUUGAGAUCAGGAAGAACACCAAAGGCGAAAGCAAGUUUCUGGGGAGUGAUUGACGCUGAGGCGCGAAAGUGUAGGGAGCAAACAGGAUUAGAUACCCUGGUAGUCUACACCGUAAACUAUGUACACUAGGUAUUGGAUUGUCGAUGAUUCAGUACUCAAGCUAACGCGAUAAGUGUACCGCCUGGGGAGUAUGCCGGCAACGGUGAA
rnacentral:rRNA from 1 species